rnacentral:lncRNA from 1 species
UGUUCAACUACAACUAAAAAAAAAAAAAGAGGAGUAUACAAUAUUACAUACAUCUGUCAGGAAACCAGAAAAGUCAGAAAAGAAAUAAGUUAAGCAUUCAAUCUAAAAUACUGGAGUAAGGAUAACACAACCAGCUGGGAGAAAUUUGAGGAAAAUAAUAAAUAUUAGGGCAGAAAUCAAUGAGAUGCAGAAUACAUGAAACAACUAACAAAAGUCCUAUGGAAAAAAAUCAGUAAGUUGCAAGUCUUGCCAGAGAUGUGUCUCAGAAAAAGAAAAAAAAAAAGCAAUAAACUACAGAAUUAAAAGACACAGCACAACUCUAGUUAAACAGAAUUUUUUUAAAUUAAAGUUAAACAGCUUCCCCGACUGCCCUCUUCCCUUCAUUGUCUAUUGUUGCCUCUUGGCUUGGAAUAUAAGCUCCCGAGACAAGGACUUUGCUUGGCUCACAAAUAAACACCAAGCCCCAAGAACAGAGUCUUGCACAAGCUCAGCCUGAACAGCUACUCAUGAAUGCAAGGGUCAACGUCCCCAAAGAGCUGGUGCUGUGAGGCCAGAUAAGUCCUUCCUAUAGCAGACUUCUGAUUGUCUUCAUUGGAUCUGCAAAGGUGGAAGGACGCCUGCAAGCCAGACCUGAGAGGAAUGGAUCUGAUGGAAUCGAUGGCUCAGUGCUACCCCAGGCUACUGCUGGAGCUAUUCAAAGAACUAGGAACUUCUGCUAUGUAAUUUUGCAUAACAGGAAGAAAAAAAAAGAGAGAGAGAGAGAAAGAG